AAAACAUAGCCCCUUGUAUAUAUACCAUAAGGGGUGUAGCCUGCCCAGUGGGACUUACUCCUAAACGGCCGCGGUAUCUUGACCGUGCAAAGGUAGCAUAAUCAUUUGUCUCUUAAAUGGGGACCUGUAUGAAUGGCUUUUCAUCCCCAAACUGUCUCCCUUCUUAACCGCAGAAACUUCUAUAGACGUGAAGAAGCGUCUAAAAAAGAGAAAGACGAGAAGACCCUGUCGAGCUUUAAUCAAACCUAGAAAAACAAUCAAACUCUCCGAGUAAAGAGAUCUCUAGACUAGAUUUUGGUUGGGGCAACCAUGGAGAACAAGAACCCUCCAGUUUAUUAGAAUGAGUCCUACUCAACUAAAAACCACAGAGAACCAGUUAUUCUGGAAAACGGAAAAAGUUACCGCAGGGAUAACAGCGUUAUCUCCUCUGAGAGCUCAUAUUGACGAGGAGGAUUGCGACCUCGAUGUUGGAUUGGGGUAACCUAAGGGUGCAGCAGCUCUUUCAGGUUGGACUGUUCGUCCACUAAUUCCCUACGUGAUCUGAGUUCAGACCGG
rnacentral:rRNA from 1 species